GCAAAGAUAUUUGAAUCUCUGCACACCUGCGUGACCCCCUGCGAUGUUUUUCUUGGAUUGGGUUUUGACAGAAGGACGACUUGCCUUUUCAACAGCGGGUAAAGGUCCUUAAUGAAAGGUGUGUUUUGUGUUCCUGCCAAGGUGCUUUACUCACAAUAGAAUGAAAUUGUUGAAAAGAAGAGGGAGUGCCUCCUCAGGGCACUUUGUAUCUAUCUAAAUGAAGAUCCAAGCAGUCUCUUCCAAGAGUAUCUGGAUUCAGAUGGCUGUGCUGCCCAGAGAGACCUUGAACAAGUUGUCUUUGGCGUCUACAGCAUUAAUGCUGAGGGAGGAGAUGCCACCACCACUCCAUUUGAUGUUGGAAAA